UACGGAGGAUGCAAGCGUUAUCCGGAUUUAUUGGGCGUAAAGCGUCCGCAGGUGGUUUUCCAAGUCUGCUGUUAAAGCGCGAGGCUUAACCUCGUACAGGCAGUGGAAACUGGAUGACUAGAGUAUGGUAGGGGUAGCGGGAAUUCCCAGUGUAGCGGUGAAAUGCGUAGAUAUUGGGAAGAACACCAGCGGCGAAAGCGCGCUACUGGGCCAUUACUGACACUCGAUGGACGAAAGCUAGGGGAGCGAAAGGG
rnacentral:rRNA from 1 species